CGCUGGCGGCCUGCUUAACACAUGCCAGUCGAACGCGACAGGGACUAUGGUGCCUGAGUAAAGUGGCGCACGGGUGAAUAACACGUAGAUAAUCUACCCGAUACUUCGGACUAACAUUUUGAAAGGAGUGCUAAUACCAGGAUAACGCCCACGAGCUCUUCGGAGCUUACGGGGAAAAGGUGGGGACCUUUGGGCCUACUGAUAUCGGAUGAGUCCGCGGCCCAUUAGCUAGUUGGUGAGGUAAUGGAUCACUAAGGCAACGAUGGGUCGCUGGUCUGAGAGGAUGAUCAGACAUACUGGAACUGAAACACGGUCCAGACUUCUACGGGAGGCAGCAGAGCGGAAUUUUGCGCAAUGGGCGAACGCUUGAUGCAGCAUCGCCGUGUGAGUGAUGAAGGCCUUCAUGUAGUUAAGCUCUGUCAGAGGGCAAGAACCGUCGUGCGGAUAAUAAACGUGCGGUCUGACGGUACCUCUCAAAGGAAGCACCGGCUAACUCCGUGCCAGCCGCCGCGGUAAUACUAGCCGAAUUCU
rnacentral:rRNA from 1 species